UCCUGGCCGCGGCGCCGCUCGCGUUCGCCGUCCCGUUCCUCCGGGCCCGGAUCCCACGCUCCGGGCUUUGGCUGCGACCAAGUAGGUAGUCGGGGCGAAGGAAACGGGAACUGAAAGCGAUGAAAAGCGUCCCACACGCCACGAGCCCGCGGGAUCCUCGGAGAGUAAGGAACGCUUCCCCUCCGCUCUCAGCCGGAGGCCGGCUGCGUCCAGCCGGGCUCGGUCUUCUGAACACCGAUUUCAAAUCAGCUCCCCGGGGCCCAGCGUGACUUAGGGAACUGGUGGCAUUUUGUGGUUGCUGCUAAAUCACGGAGAGCAGCCUUGGUGCUGCCGGUCCCAACUUGAUCCAAGGAGCCAUGAGAAGGAGAUGAGAUUCAGUAUCAGGGGGCGGCCGUGGCUCCCAUCCUCCAGAAUCUGCAAAAUGGCUACUUCUUCAGAAAUAAUGGGGAGAGGGAUGGCAAGAGGCCAGAGAUCAAGGCCCUCGAGUAUUAACUCGAGCAUUUGGGCACAAAAUAGACACUUUUGGAUUUUCCAACACCAAGGAUGAGAUUAUCAAAAGAUGUGUUAAGAAAUUAAUUUGUACCGGCCGGGCGCGGGGGCUCACGCCUGUAAUCCCAACACUUUGGGAGGCCGAGGCGGGCGAAUCACAAGGUCAUGAGUUCGAGACCAGCCUGGCCAAUAUGGUGAAACCCCGUCUCUACUAAAAAUACAGAAAUUAGCCGGGAGUGGUGGCGGAUGCCUGUAGUCCCAGCUACUCUGGAGGCUAAGGCAGGAGAAUCGCUUGAACCCGGGAGGCGGAGGUCGUAGUGAGCGGAGACCGGGCCACUGCACUCCAGCCUGGGAGACAGAGCGAGACUCUGUCUCAAAAAAAAAAAAAAAAAAAAAAAUAUCCAUUUGUACCAUUCCUUGCCCCCCCCCCACCCCGAACUUAUUGAAAGAGCAUCACUUUCCUCACUUUUCUCUUCUCCUCUAACAGAAAAGCACUUAGAUGAAGCUACAGGGAGCCAGAAUUCUUUUGACUUGGUGGGUACUGGAGGAUUGGAAGAAUCUAGAUUGAGUAUUCCUUGGCCUUUGGGGAGCUUGUUCUAUGCAAAGUCACCUAGGAAAUGAUACUUCCCCCACUGUGAAACACUAGCUAGAGAUGAUAGACAAAAAGCACAUUUGUUGUAAUCUCCCUUUGACGGGAUUCAGGUUAGGAUAGAUGUCGAAGCAGCUGCUUCUAGGUAGUCAACGAAGAUGUCAACUAGUAAAUGACAACAGACAAGGAUGAUCACAGCAGAGUUGUAAGAUUCUAGAUAUCAAAAAGAGCAAGCAGUCUUUUGUACUCACCAUCGCAUCCUCAGCAGCUGCCCAGUGCCCGGUUUUAACUUAGUGCUCAGUGUAUGUGUCAGGUUUGAAUCCCAAUUCUGACACUACCUGUGCUACUCUCUUCACCUCUCUGAGUCUGUAAAGGAUUAUUUAAGAAUUAAAUGAAACAAGAUACAGAAAA
rnacentral:lncRNA from 1 species